rnacentral:rRNA from 1 species
AUUGAACGCUCGCGGGAUGCUUUACACAUGCAAGUCGAACGGCAGCGCGGACUUCGGUCUGGCGGCAAGUGGCGAACGGGUGAGUAAUGUAUCGGAACGUGCCCAGUAGCGGGGGAUAACUACGCGAAAGCGUAGCUAAUACCGCAUACGCCCUACGGGGGAAAGCAGGGGAUCGUAAGACCUUGCACUAUUGGAGCGGCCGAUAUCGGAUUAGCUAGUUGGUGAGGUAACGGCUCACCAAGGCGACGAUCCGUAGCUGGUUUGAGAGGACGACCAGCCACACUGGGACUGAGACACGGCCCAGACUCCUACGGGAGGCAGCAGUGGGGAAUUUUGGACAAUGGGGGCAACCCUGAUCCAGCCAUCCCGCGUGUGCGAUGAAGGCCUUCGGGUUGUAAAGCACUUUUGGCAGGAAAGAAACGUCGCGGGCUAAUACCCCGUGGAACUGACGGUACCUGCAGAAUAAGCACCGGCUAACUACGUG